AGUGACUUCUGCCCUUGGGGUUAUUUCCUCGUUCGUCAAGGUAGCUGAAGUCCCUCCUACUUUCUUUGACAAUUUUUUUAAUCCUCACUCCUUCCUCCGGGGAAUUUUUGUUUUUAAUACCUUCAGCAGCUACCUGGAACUUGAAUCAUUUUACUUCCCCAUCGUUGUGGAACCUCGCCCUGCAGUCUGAGAAAAGCGUCCUCGAAGUACCACAGGUCCGCGGCGUAGGUCUCGCGAGAAGACGGCAAACUCUCGCGUUUUUUCUUGUUUUCCAUAAUCCUUAGCGCGAAGUGGAAAAACACGCAUUUCUCUCAGCUUCGGUUGAUGACUGCAGGGUUCACGCCUUUACUCUGUUGCUGGUGCUCGAGCGGAAAUGGCGGCCCCAGAACAGCCGAUCCCGAUGUCGAGAGGAUGCCAGAGCUCUGCUUCGCUUUCUCCGCCGCGGGGCGACCGAACCCUUCUAGUGAGGCAUCUGCCAGCCGAGCUGACCGCUGAGGAGAAAGAGGACUUGCUGAAGUAUUUCGGGGCACAGUCAGUGCGCGUCCUGUCCGAUAAGGGGAGGCUGAAACAUACCGCUUUUGCCACUUUCCCUAAUGAAAAAGCAGCUAUAAAGGCAUUGACAAGACUCCAUCAGCUGAAACUUUUAGGUCAUACUCUAGUUGUUGAAUUUGCGAAAGAGCAAGAUCAAGUUCAUUCACCAUGUCCCUCUUCAAGCACUGAAAAAAAGAAAAGGUCUGAUGAUCCUGUGGAAGAUGAUAAAGAAAAGAAAGAACUUGAUUGUUUAACCAUAGAAAAUGGAAUUGCACCAAACCAUGGGCUGACUUUUCCACUGAAUUCAUGCCUCAAGUAUAUGUACCCACCACCUUCGAGCACAAUCCUAGCAAACAUAGUAAAUGCUUUGGCGAGUGUGCCUAAGUUCUAUGUACAGGUGCUUCAUCUUAUGAAUAAAAUGAAUUUGCCCACGCCUUUUGGACCAAUUACUGCACGACCUCCAAUGUAUGAAGACUAUAUGCCAUUACAUGCACCUCUUCCACCCGCAUCUCCUCAGCCACCAGAGGAACCCCCUUUGCCAGAUGAGGAAUUAUCUAGUAAAGAAUCAGAAUAUGAAAGCAGUGAUGAUGAAGACCGUCAAAGAAUGACUAAACUAAUGGAACUAGCAAAUCUUCAGCCCAAAAGACCAAAAACAAUAAAGCAGCGCCAUGCGAGAAAAAAGAGAAAAAUAAAGGAUAUGUUGAAUACACCAUCAUUUGCUUCACACAGCAGUUUACAUCCAGUGCUGUUACCUUCGGAUGUAUUUGACCAGCCACAACCUGUAGGUAAUAAAAAAAUUGAAUUCCAUAUAUCUACUGACAUGCCAGCUGCAUUUAAGAAUGAUUUAGAAAAGGAGCAAAAUUCUGAAGAACAAAAUUGUGAUUUACCUGCUUCUGGAGUUGAUGCAUCCAAUAAAGGAUUUGGAAAAAUCUUCCCCAAACCAAAUUUGAGCAUUGCAGAGGAGAUUAAAGAAGACUCUGAUGAAAUGCCAUCAGAAUGUAUUUCUAGAAGGGAGUUGGAAAAGGGCAGAAUUUCUAGAGAAGAAAUGGAAACACUUUCAGUUUUUAGAAGCUAUGAACCUGGUGAACCAAACUGUAGAAUUUAUGUAAAGAAUUUAGCUAAACAUGUUCAAGAAAAGGACCUUAAAUUUAUUUUUGGAAGAUAUGUUGACUUUUCGUCAGAAACACAACGGAUAAUGUUUGAUAUACGCUUGAUGAAAGAAGGUCGCAUGAAAGGACAAGCAUUCAUUGGACUUCCAAAUGAAAAAGCAGCAGCAAAAGCAUUAAAGGAAGCUAAUGGAUAUGUUCUUUUUGGAAAACCUAUGGUAGUUCAAUUUGCUCGAUCUGCUAGACCAAAACAAGAUUCUAAAGAAGGAAAAAGAAAGUGCUAAAAGUUAAUAAAGAAGCAUUCCUGCGUAAAUACUGCUGUAAUACUGUCAUACAAAGUGUAUCCUUUCUUGUUGUAUCCUUUUUGGGGCAGUGUUUUUUGAUUUUUCCAGAAAUGUUUUGUCUUUCCUCCACCCAUUAAUUCACCUUAAGCAAUAAUCUUUUACAGUGCAUUGAAAUGAAGUAUUUCUAAAAUUAUCUGUUAAUUAAGCAAAUCUUUUACAUGGUUUUUAGAUUUGUUGUUGAAUUUUCUAUGCUGUCUUUUAGGUUAUGUAAUUUUUCCAGGGAAAGUUAGUGAAUCAGGUCAACUUAUUUACUUGGAGAAUGUAUACAUUUACUUUAAUACAGAUUUUAGUCUUGUUUCUUUAAUCCAUGUAUUUUCUAAGCCUAAAAUUCAGUAACAUAAUGCUUUCUGUUUCAUGAUGUAUCUGGUUUUAGGUGUGCUAUAUAAUGUGUUGUAAAAUUCAGGGAAAGGUUUUUUUGUUAUUUUUUCCUUUUAAAAAGUACGUACGUUGAAAAGUGAAGUAACUGGAUUUCAGUGUAAAUUCCAAGUAAGAGUAGCAGACCUUACAUCUGAGGUUUUACUAUUGAAAUCUUUGAGAUAGCAAGUAGAAGUAUCUUUUUUCCUCUUUCUUUUUCUAAACUAAGCAAAAGGAGUAAGAGUAACAGAGAGAAGACAUAACAUUGAUUCAGGGUAGCACAUUAAGUGGAAAGAAACAAAUCUGGUAGGUAUGUAAGUGCAGGGGUUUACAGACUAUUUGAUAAUAAGAACCACACAAAACAGUGUGGUUCUCAGUCUUGGCUACAUAUUGGAAUGAUCUGUGGAAGUUUUUUAAAAAUACUGAUUAUAUAAAAUGACGUAGUAAACUAAAAAAUAUACUUAUGCCUGUGUUUCUUCCUCAGAGUUUUGAUUUAAUUGGUCUAGAUUUCAACAUAGAUAUUAGCGUUUUUAAAUCUCAAAAUUUUGAUUCUAAUAUGCAGUCAAGGUUGAGAACUUCUGAGCAAGUUUCCUGGACUCUAUCCUAGAACUGAUAAAUCAGAGUAUCUGGGAUUAGGACCAAGAAUCUGAUUUGAAAGGGCCCUUAGUAGUUCUAAGGACUGAUUAGUUAGAUUAAAAUGGUUAGGUGGAUUCAAGAAUACCAACCUGGCCAUCUAAAUUUUUAUCAGUAGGAAAAUAAAGCAUUUGAGCCUCUACACCUCUUUCUUGCAAAUCCUGCUAUUAGUAGUACCAUGAAAACAACGCAAAAUUCUGUUAGUAUCACCCUGAGUAUAAAAAGUUAUAGAUAUUGAAAUUGCUGUUGCUUUUUCCUAUAGACUCAAGUAAAAUAUUAUAUUUUUUAUAGGUCAGUUUCUGUUAACUGUUUAAACAAAAUUUUGUUCUGACAUGAUUCACUAAUUUUCUGAAUAUAAAUGUUUUAGCUUUUAGUUAUUUUAAAACUAUUGAACUGUUUUAUAAUCAUUACUUUUAAUUAAUUUUUAUGGUGUUUUAGGUUCCUUUUGAAUUCCAUAUCUUUCAAGUACUUUCCAGCUUUGGAGAGAUGAAAUUGACUACCUGGACGAUGGAACUGGAUUUGACACGCUGGCCAGGUGUAGAUCACAUGUGUCACCUCUGAGGUGAGAAGUUUCAUAUAAACCACUUGAAAUGACAGUUAGGAAUGGGCUUGUUUUUUGAAGGAAAAGCAUAGCAUUGUGAAAUCAAAAGAGAAACUUAGGUAUUAGGCAGCCAAAAGCAAAUGUUUUACUACAGUAUACAAUAAAUAAAACUCUUACUGCCAUGUGGUUGUUAUCCAUUUAUUCUUUUCAUAAGGGCUGGGACCAGUGUAAAGAGAAGGAAUCUCCUAGGGUGUGGACUUUAAGGAGGCAUAAACUCUCAGAGUAAUCCAAGAGCUCUUUCUCUCAGUCUAGUCUUGGUGCUGCCUCCUACUAUAUUAAUAACAUAAACAGAGUCAGCAUAAUCCUGUUUAAGUAAAUCACCAAACAAAAGCAGUACCAUUCAAGUAGCUAUUUUAGAUGAUUUGAAAAAUAUUUAUUAUGCAAAUGACACUCCUUCAAAAUCAAUGUCAAGAGAGAUUAAGUCUUCUAAAGGAAGUAAGGGAAAGGAAUUACUACCUAUUAAGUACCUAAAAUUCAAAAGGCAUUGCAUUAAUGUUUAGAUAUAGUAAUUAUUUGACAUUUGCCAACCUAUAAGAACACUUCCUUUUGUGAGGAAUGGAGAAGUUUCCUGCUGAACUUCAACUGUAUAUUAGUAGAUAUUGUAAAGUUUAGUUUCCUUUACUAAUAUUUAAGUUAUUUCCAUAAAUUUAACCUUGGUGAAAUGGGCCAACUUCUUGAAAGUGGCAAGUAAAACUUACUUGAGAAGUAGGUAAUCUCAACAAUUCUAUAUCUAAUAAGUUUACUUUGUGGUUAAAAAAUCUUCCUGAAGCCCUGGAUAACUUCACUGAUGAAUUCUACCAAACAUUAAAUGAAGGAACCAACAAUUCUAUACAACAGAACACUUCUGAAUUCAUUUUAAGAGGCCUGAAUUUAUCUUGAUAGUAAAUAAGACAAAGGACGAGAAAAGUACAUAUCACUGUAUCUUAUUAGUGUAUAUGCAGAAAUCCUCAACAAUAUAUGAGCAAGUUGAAUCGGCAAUAUAUAAAAAGGAUUAUAAAUCAUGGCCAAAUGAAGUUUAUCCUGCAAAAUGCAGGCUGUUGAACCUUUGAAAAUGAAUAAAUGUUAUUUAUCAACAGACUAAAGAAGGAAAAGCAUAUGAUUUUCUUAAUGUAAAAAGUAUUUGACAAUUGAACAUCCAUUCUUAAUAGCUCAGCAAGCUAGCACUAGAAAAGGGCGUCCUUAAGUUAAAAGUGUCUACAAAACCUCUUGGUGUCUUAAUACUUCAUUAUUAAAGGCUAAAUGUUUUCCUCCUAAGAAAAGGAGAAAUUAGGCAAGGAAGUAGACACUCACUAUUAGUAUUCAGCUUCUCGCUGACAGCCAUUGCAUAAAACGAAAAAGAAAAUCUUUGUAAAUUGGAAAUUAUGAGGUAAAAUUAUUCCUUGACAGAGAUGACGUGUUUAUGUUGAAAAUUCCAAAGGAUUAAAACACUCCUACAACUGAUUGUAAGAUUAAAAUAAAUAUGUAGAAUACAAUUGUCUAUCUGUGCACUAGCAAUGAGCAACUAGACAUUGAAAUUUUUGUCUACAAUUACAUUUGCAGUAGUACCAAAACAGAAAUAAUAAAGUCUACCAAAAUAUGUACUACACCUGUAUGCUGCAAACCUUCCACCAAAUUUUGAUAAUAAAAAGUGAGGAAGGCUUAAGUAAAGGGAGAGAGGUACUGUAUACAUGGUUCAAAAGACAAUUAUUAUGCCAUCUCUUCCCAAAUAGACUGAUUUCAAAUAAAAAAAUUCUAGCAGGAUAUUUUGUUGAUAUUAUCAAGUUGACUUUCAAGUUUCUUUGGAAAAGCAACAGAGCUAGAAUAGCUGACACAAUAUCAAGACAAAAUUAUAUGACUUAGACUACAGAAUUCUAAGUCUUACUAUAAAGUUAUAAUAAAUAGUGUCAUAUUUGGCAGAGAAUAGACACAUAAAUCAAUGGAACAAGAAAGUCUAGAAAUAGACCCACACAAGUAUGGUAAAUUAAUAAGCCAACUCAGUGGAAAAGGAUAGUCAUUUGAAUAUGAGAUGUAUUCCCCCCAAAAAAAUGGUAUCAAUACAUUUCUGUCACACAAAAAUAUUUUCAAAAUAAAUUUUAGGCCCAAAUAUAAAAUCUAAAACUAUGAAAAUUAUAAGAAAAAAAUGUCUGUGGGACCUAGACGCUUAUAUAUAACUUAUUUAAGUUCUUAUAUAUGUAUAACAUCAAAAGAUUGAUCCAUUUAUAUAUAAAAAAGGAUAAAUUGGUCUUCAAAUAAAAAUCUUGUUCAGAAGACACUGCUAGAAAAGAAGAGCAAGCCAUAGAAUGGGAGAAAUCUUUGUAAAGCAUGUAUUUGACAAAGGAGAGUAACCAGAAUAUAUAAGGAACUUAUAUCUCAGUAACAACAACAACAAAAAAAGCCAAAAAUGGACAGUAAAUAUGAAGGCACUUCAAAGGUUUAUGAUGGCAAAUAAGCAGAUGGACAUCAUCAACCAUUAGGAAAAUAUACAGCCAGAAUAAGAUGGCACCACAUACUUAUUAGAAUGGCUUAAAAUAAAUUCUGAUAGCACCAAGAGUUGUCCAACUAAGCUCCCAUACAUUGCUAGUGAAAGUACAAAAUGAUGUAUCUGCUGUGCAAAACAAUUUUGGAAAGUUUGUUAAAAGAUUAAACAUGCACUUAACAAGUGACCUACCCAUCACACUUCUAAGUGUCCAAGAAGAACAAAAAAAUUACAUUCACUCUAAAACUAUACAUGAGAGAAUUUUGGAAAGGUGGCAGAGUAGGAAGUCUCAGGAAUCAAUCUCCCCACAGAAACAACUGCACUGGCAGUACCAGUCUGAUGUCACUGUUUUGGAACUUAUGGGUCUAGUAAAGGCUUGCAACUUCCAGGGAAAGUCUUGGACAAUAAAAUUGUAGUUAAUUUAGGUCAAUUUCAGCUCUUAGCAUAGUAGCAACUACCCAUCCAUCAAACUCUGCCAUGUGGCAGGUAGCCAUGUAUGUAUCCUGGAGCACCUUUCACACAGCUGGUUAGAGUCAGGGUAGGCAAAAAGGACCCUGAGCUCUAAAUAUUGGGAAUCUAUGUUCUAAUCAUUAAUUACUGCUUUCUAUCACAAAGGUUCAAAGAGGUUGGCAGCCAUGGUUGUACAUCCAUUUUUGUAAGACAUGCCUCUAAACUAAUGAAUGGACUUCCAGGUGAAUAAUAAGGCAGACACCCUAUUUUUCUUCCCUUUUUUAUUUUUCUCUUUUUCCCCUUUUGGGAGCCAGGCAUGCUUAAAGACUAGGACAUUCAAAAACAACUGCUCAUAUGGGGAAAAUUAGACAUUGACUACUAACUUCAGAAAAAGACACAAAAAUCUAAGAGCUAAGAUAUUAUACUUUAGUGAUCCUUGGUGCAGAAACAGCAUAAAACAAUUUUUUAAAAGCAAUAAAAAUACUAAUACUUU